rnacentral:rRNA from 1 species
GAUGAACGCUGGCGGCGUGCCUAAUACAUGCAAGUCGAGCGAACGGACGAGAAGCUUGCUUCUCUGAUGUUAGCGGCGGACGGGUGAGUAACACGUGGAUAACCUACCUAUAAGACUGGGAUAACUUCGGGAAACCGGAGCUAAUACCGGAUAAUAUUUUGAACCGCAUGGUUCAAAAGUGAAAGACGGUCUUGCUGUCACUUAUAGAUGGAUCCGCGCUGCAUUAGCUAGUUGGUAAGGUAACGGCUUACCAAGGCAACGAUGCAUAGCCGACCUGAGAGGGUGAUCGGCCACACUGGAACUGAGACACGGUCCAGACUCCUACGGGAGGCAGCAGUAGGGAAUCUUCCGCAAUGGGCGAAAGCCUGACGGAGCAACGCCGCGUGAGUGAUGAAGGCCUUCGGAUCGUAAAACUCUGUUAUUAGGGAAGAACAUAUGUGUAAGUAACUGUGCACAUCUUGAUGGUACCUAAUCAGAAAGCCACGGCUAACUACGUG